rnacentral:rRNA from 1 species
UAGGGAAUCUUCCGCAAUGGACGCAAGUCUGACGGAGCAACGCCGCGUGAGUGAAGAAGGAUUUCGGUUCAUAAAACUCUGUUGUUAGAGAAGAACAGCGCAUAGAGUAACUGUUAUGCGUGUGACGGUAUCUAACCAGAAAGCCACGGCUAACUACGUGCCAGCAGCCGCGGUAAUACGUAGGUGGCAAGCGUUGUCCGGAUUUAUUGGGCGUAAAGCGAGCGCAGGCGGUCAAUUAAGUCUGAUGUGAAAGCCCCCGGCUCAACCGGGGAGGGUCAUUGGAAACUGGUUGACUUGAGUGCAGAAGAGGAGCGUGUAAUUCCAUGUGUAGCGGUGAAAUGCGUAGAUAUAUGGAAGAACACCAGUGGCGAAGGCGACUCUCUGGUCUGUAACUGACGCUGAGGCUCGAAAGCGUGGGUAGCAAACAUG